UUUUGACCCCAGUAUUGGCAUAGUUGUGGUGUACAAGGCUAUUAAGUGAAUGAGGUAAUGGUUGGAAGAAGAGGCAUCGCUUGAAAGGAGCCUACUGGUGAUGUAGGAAUGUGGAGACUACCGUUGUGAUGGGACUAGUGGUGGACCGAUGAAUCAAGUCUUAGACGAUGCCGAGCAGGUGGUGGUUGCAGAUGUCGAGGUAAUACCGGACUGAUUGGCAGGACCCCUGGGCUGUGUGGAAGUUGAACAGUGAGACGCUUCAACUUCAUUAUUCGUGAACACUUGGCAAACCGACUACGGAAGGCGCACAAGGUACACCAUUGAUGAACAAGGAAAAGGGAUGGAGGCCGAGGGCAGACUACUGCACCCAUGAGGUCGACACACAUCCCUAGUUACAGCGGGCAGCCGCCGCGUUCGCCCUUCGGGGUUGUCGGUGCUCCGCCGGAACCCCAAAAGUGAUAAGCCUGCAGAUAGCUACGAAAUAAUCCCAUGAAUUGUAAUUAGUGUAAUGAAAUUAAUGCAACUUUCAUUUACUACCUAUAGAUGUAGUUAGUAAUUUAUUUAUACUUUAUAAUUAUUAAUUAUAAUUAUUCCUUAAUACUUUAUUGUUAUGCACUAGUCAGUAAUUAUUUAUUAUUAAUCGUAAUGAGCAAAUAUUUUAAAUGAAUCAAAUAAUUA